rnacentral:rRNA from 1 species
UGGGGAAUUUUGGACAAUGGGCGAAAGCCUGAUCCAGCAAUGCCGCGUGUGUGAAGAAGGCCUUCGGGUUGUAAAGCACUUUUGUCCGGAAAGAAAUCCUUGGCUCUAAUACAGUCGGGGGAUGACGGUACCGGAAGAAUAAGCACCGGCUAACUACGUGCCAGCAGCCGCGGUAAUACGUAGGGUGCAAGCGUUAAUCGGAAUUACUGGGCGUAAAGCGUGCGCAGGCGGUUUGCUAAGACCGAUGUGAAAUCCCCGGGCUCAACCUGGGAACUGCAUUGGUGACUGGCAGGCUAGAGUAUGGCAGAGGGGGGUAGAAUUCCACGUGUAGCAGUGAAAUGCGUAGAGAUGUGGAGGAAUACCGAUGGCGAAGGCAGCCCCCUGGCAAGUACUGACGCUCAUGCACGAAAGCGUGGGGGAGCAAACAGGAUUAGAUACCCCUGGUAGUCCACGCCCUAAACGAUGUCAACUAGUUGUUGGGGAUUCAUUUCCUUAGUAACGUAGCUAACGCGUGAAGUUGACCGCCUGGGGAGUACGGUCGCAAGAUUAAAACUCAAAUGAAUUGACGGGGUCAUAGCUGUUUCCU